rnacentral:rRNA from 1 species
UACGAGAGGCCCAAACGUUAUUCGGAAUUACUGGGCUUAAAGAGCUCGUAGGCGGCUUGUCGCGUCGACUGUGAAAACCCGCGGCUCAACCGCGGCCUGCAGCCGAUACGGGCAGGCUAGAGUUCGGUAGGGAGACUGGAAUUCCUGGUGUAGCGGUGAAAUGCGCAGAUAUCAGGAGGAACACCAAUGGCGAAGGCAGCUUGCUGGCAUGUAUCUGACGCUAAGGCACGAAAGCGUGGGGAGCGAACAGG